UGGUUCUCGACCGGCAGAAGGAAGGGAAUUAGCGGAGGUAACCAGCCGGGCUACCCUGGGUCUGCUACAGCAUUCAUUGGCUAAAAGCGGUCAUCUCUACAGAAGCUUGAUAUCGUAAGAAAACAUGCCAGGAAACCAGGCACCCAGCAGAGAUCCAGGUAAGAGGGCAAACCAUUGCAAAACAGUCUGCCCCCUUGCCAGGAGGAAAGGCUUUACAUUGUACUCCUGAAAUCAGAAACACUACAACAGGCUGUAGUGGUUAUGAUACUUGGAGUAACCCUUUAAGGGCGUUCUGAUUAAAGGAAGACUAAACAAACAAGUAUUACUGACCCUAUAGUGUUAAAACCACCAGCUAGCUCCCCUGGCAUCCCUUUCCCCCCUGAAUAUAGCAAAAUCUUACCUUUACACAAGUUUGCUGCUGCUGGCUCUGCCCUUGAUCUGCCUGGUUUGCUGACAUCUUCAGAAGUGUUGAUCUGAGCCAAUCACAAUGAUCUCGCAUAGAGAUGUAUUGAAUCAAUGCAUCUCUAUGAGGAAAGUUCAGUGUCUGCAUGCAGAGGGUGGAGACACUGAAUGGCAGUGCUGUACAAUGUGCAGCACUGCCCAGGAAGCACCUCUAGUUGCCAUGUAAGAAGUUUCCAGUGCAGUUAUGGCUAGGCUGUAAUGUAAACACUGCAUGUUCUCUGAAAAGACAGUGUUUACUGCAAGGAGCCUGAAGGGAAUGAUUCUACUCACCAGAACAAAUGCAAUAAGCUGUAGUUGUUCUGGUGACUAUGGUGUCUCUUUAAUGCUCUGAUGAGAAAAUUAACAAAAUGUUGGACUAUGCUAAACUGAAAGCCAAAUCUGACAAUUUAUCAGAAAAAGUUGUUGUAAAUAAAGCAGAUUUUAGACCACGUUUCCAGAUUUCCAUUAAACACGUGUGAAUAUGUGGAUUUGUCUUUUUUUGUAUAAACACUGAAAUUAGUUGAAUUUAUCAUAUACUUAUAUUGCUUUUAGAGCCUCUACCAAAUGUAAAUGCCACCUCCCUUCUCUCGUGGUAAUAACCAGCACUGUAAAAGUGAC